GCUGUCGACUGGUUGCUGAGUUCCUCCAACAUUCUCUGUGUGUUUGCUUCUGUUUGUUUAUUGAUUAAAAUAAUCAGACUGGUACAGUGGAAGAGGAAUUUGUGGAAUGGUCAGAGACAGUUUCAUACAGUAGUUUAUUUACCCAGGAACAUGCCAUUUCAGUUGUAAUCUGUGUAAAGAGGUGGUAUUACUGAGAGUUCUUGCGGUGAAGGAUCCUGAAUAUGAGCAGUGGCAGAUGUUUAAGGAGAAGGUUCGUUAAAGCCGACAUUUAUCCCAAUCAGACAGAGGAAUCACAGAGAGCAAACAACAGUCUGUGAUUAAAAGAGUUCAAGGUAAAUAUUAACUCAGAGAACAAACAAAGAGGCAACGACAGGGUGGACAAAACAGUCGGGAUUUUUCCUGUAACUCAUGAUGCGACAAAAGAUAAAAAUAUCAAGGAAAAACAGAUUAGUUAACUCAAUAAUUUCCAUUAGUGUUUUCAGUGGGGACACAGCAAACAUCCUACAGAUAUCUAACGGUGACAUUUCAAUGCUGUGCCAUAAUGUGUAGCAAUCACCAUCAGGGGUGAUAAACUAAUGGGACUAAAAGCAAAAAUAUCCAGUUCCCAACGACCUGCACCAGACGGUUUCACAGGAAGGCUGGAGAGAAAGUAGAGACGUUGGAAUCUGUCAAAAAUCACUGUUACAGAAAGGUCCCAGUGGAGCUGAAAACCAUUGCUGAAGGGUGGAAGAGAAAGGAAAACAAAAAUUUUGUUGAGAAAUCUGUCCGCGACCAAGGCAGUUCAUACUGGAUUGGAAAAUGCAACUAUGGGAGAGUGGCCUCGAAUAUCGUGUUCCAAAUGAAGGCUGGAGUCUUCGAAUGCAUUGAAUGUGGAUGGUACCCUCACUUUGAACAUUGCAGUGAGGAUAAGCGUUGCUUCAUCUGCGAGAAGUCGGCGCUUCUGUGCUCAGAUCUUUCUGAAAAGAUCCAGGAUCUCUGUCAACAGUCAAUAGGGUCGACUUAAACAAGUGGCAAAACCGUCUUUAUCUCACCGACUCACAUUACAUCAUCAGCUCUGCCCCUCACCCUUGCCUUAUUAUCUUUCCCUCUAUCGCAAUCUUACCCACCAUCUCGCCCACUCUUCACCUUCGUUCCUCUAAACACUCUCUCUCAUCCCUCUCCACUCCCGCCUCUUCCAUUUCAUCCGCAUUUUCUCCCUCCCGCAUCUCGCCUCCCUUUCCCCGAACUCUUCCUCUUCUAUCCCUGUCUCUCUCUCGAUUCUCUAUUCCCCCUCUACACACUCUCCCAAUCCCUCUCUUUCCCUUUUAUCAAACUCAACUCGCUCUCCCGCUUCUGUCUUCAGCUACUCUCACCUCAAUCAUGCGCGUCAAUGUUCUCGAUACCACAGUCCUGUGGAAUAAGAGUGCAUGUAUUCGCCUUAUCCGUGCCCCUUGUAGUUUUGUACAGCUCUACAUGGUCACAAAAUAAAGCCUGAAAAUUUCCGACUGCACCAUAACUCAGCCCCUAAAAUCCUGGCAGAAACUUCGGAAUUCUCCCUCUGUAAUCUUUCCAGUUCGUUGAGAUUUUUCUCAGAGCAAGGCAAGCAGAACUAAACUCCAUACUCCAUGUGCGGCCCGACCGACGUCAUUUGCAACUGCAACGUGACCUCCGACUCCCGUACUCAGUGUCCUGACUGAUGAAGGCCAGCGUGUCAAAUAUCCUGUCCACCAGUAUCGCAUCUUCUCUACCGGAUUCACGGUCUGUUUUAUUAUCUGUGACGUAGACCACCUGAGAUUUGUUCUUUUGAAGGAUCAGUGGGGCGCUAAUAUGUAAAAAUUACCGUCAAAUGCAACCAGCUAAUAAAUGCCGCAAAAAAUGUGGAGGUGGUGCUCAUACGUUCAAGAAAAUGCCAGCGGAAGGGAAGAAGGUGUUUCUGGUUCAUUGAGAUUUCGGCCUCCUGUUUCUCGUCAACCCUCCUUCCCAGACGACCAUCCUUGUCACCGUCCGCCACGACUUCCUCUGCAGCCCUCUCCGUUUCCGCCACCGCAUUCUUCUUCCACACUUCUUGACUCUAGCAACCCUCCGUUCACUGCGCUGCGUGCCGUCUUCGUCAUCUCCUCCUUCUCCAACACCUCUCCACGUCUCCCUGAUCUGUUUGAUCCCCUGCAGGUCCACCCCGCUUCCAUUAACCGUCUUCCUCCUUUACACGUCUCCCUCUCACUGUUUAUAUAGAAGUAUGGCGAGGAAGAGGGAGAGGUGACGUCUAGUGUUACACCAACCAGCUCCCUUCAAACGGAUAUUGAUCUCUCGUUUCUGAGCCUUUGCUCUAUUCUGUGUGAACAGACCGAUCGUUUGUUUGGACAAAACUUCAUCCCGAGUGGGGUGGUGGGCGGAUGGGGUGAGGGUAGAUGUGCGGAAGAGAUGCGUUAGACCACUUUAGACCAGAGCCAGU